CCGAGAGGAUGAGAGGGGGAGGGGAGACGCCCGGCGAGGCGGCACGCCGGAGGCGGCGCCGCACUCGACCGAGCAGAGAAACGAGAGGGGCGAGAGAGCCGAGAGAGGUAGAGAGAGCAAAAUGGCUGAUGUUGUGUGUGUUGUGUGUACAUGUAUUUAGGAUUAGGGUUGGGCUAGGUUUUGGGCUCAAGCCCUUCUAUCUUGGUGUGGGCCGAAAAUUUUAGAUAAAAGUGGGCCGAUGUUAUUUUUUUUAUGCUGCUGGGCCUUUUUGCUUUUAAAAAAAUUUGAUGGGUUUAUUUAAUAGGUUUGGGCCCAAUUUUAAUUAAGUUUUGAGCUGUUAUUUAAUUAUAGGCCUACGAAUUUUGGCCUUAAUUCUUAAAAAAAAAAAAGUGUUUCAAUUUUCAUUAAAUUAUUUAGUGGGUUUAAAUCUCUUGAUUAAAAUGUUAAUAUUGAAGAUUGGGACUAUUUAUUUUAAAUGAAGCCGGUUCUUUUAUUUAAAUUUAUUGAUGGACCUUAAAAGAAGUAUUUUGGGAUUAAGCCCUCAUUUAUUAUAAUAUUUCAAGGCUUUAUGAGUAUGGGUUUUAAAUGGUUAAAAUGUUUUUAUUUCACCUCAAUGGGAUUUAAAAUGACUUAUUUAAAGUAUAUAUAAACGAAUAAUGGUGCAUGAUUUUAUUGCUUAUGUGAGCAUGUGAUUUUUUUUAAAAUGAUAUUAAGUUAAGGAUAUUGAUUUCUUUUAUCUUGUUUGUUAUGUGAUUAGACGAGGUAUGUUGGUUUUUGACUGUCUUUAAUGGAACGAAUUAUGGAUGCUAGAACCCUAAAACUAAAAGAUACCCUAGGCUCGUAAAAUUAGACUUUGUCUUAUGACAAUUUCUUCACGAACUUAUCGACUCUUCAUCAAUGAAGGUCCGGGCGACAAAAAGUGAAGCCGAAGAAGAAACGACUCCACGCCAGCUUUAAGAACGUUUAAGGUUGAGCAGGCGAUGGAAUGGAUUGGUGUUGAGCGGAUUCUCUUUUAAUGAUUAAGUAAUGAAACCUUGAGUAUGUAUCUUCAUAUGCAUAACUCACACGUAUUUCCGCUGCAACCCUCUGAUUUUUAUUAUCGCUUCUAUAAGAACUUAAUACUAUUUUAUUUCGGAUGAUGUCACAUGGGUCUAGUAUUUUAAUAUGAACGUUUGUAAUUACCCAAGCAGUUAUAUAUAUAUAUAUAUUGUAAUUGCUUUAA